GAUGAAGAACGUAGCAAAAUGCGAUAAGUAAUGUGAAUUGCAGAAUUCAGUGAAUCAUCGAAUCUUUGAACGCACAUUGCGGCCGCCAGUAUUCUGGCGGGCAUGCCUGUUCGAGCGUCAUUUCAACCCUCAAGCACAGCUUGGUGUUGGGACUCGCGUUAAUUCGCGUUCCCCAAAUUGAUUGGCGGUCACGUCGAGCUUCCAUAGCGUAGUAGUAAAACCCUCGUUACUGGUAAUCGUCGCGGCCACGCCGUUAAACCCCAACUUCUGAAUGUUGACCUCGGAUCAGGUAGGAAUACCCGCUGAACUUAAGCAUAUCAAUAAGCGGAGGA
rnacentral:misc_RNA from 1 species